UAGGGAAUCUUCGGCAAUGGGGGGAACCCUGACCGAGCAACGCCGCGUGAGUGAAGAAGGUUUUCGGAUCGUAAAGUUCUGUUGCAGGGGAAGAUAAUGACGGUACCCUGUGAGGAAGCCCCGGCUAACUACGUGCCAGCAGCCGCGGUAAUACGUAGGGGGCUAGCGUUAUCCGGAUUUACUGGGCGUAAAGGGUGCGUAGGUGGUCCUUCAAGUCGGUGGUUAAAGGCUACGGCUCAACCGUAGUAAGCCGCCGAAACUGGAGGACUUGAGUGCAGGAGAGGAAAGUGGAAUUCCCAGUGUAGCGGUGAAAUGCGUAGAUAUUGGGAGGAACACCAGUAGCGAAGGCGGCUUUCUGGACUGCAACUGACACUGAGGCACGAAAGCGUGGGUAGCAAACAGG
rnacentral:rRNA from 1 species